rnacentral:tRNA from 1 species
GAGGGUAGAGCUCAGUGGUAGAGCGCGUGCUUAGCAUGCACAAGGUCCAGGGUUCAAUCCCCAGCACCCCCA